UAGAGCUUGAUCAUGGCUCAGAUUGAACGCUGGCGGCAGGCCUAACACAUGCAAGUCGAGCGGUAGAGAGAAGCUUGCUUCUCUUGAGAGCGGCGGACGGGUGAGUAAUGCCUAGGAAUCUGCCUGGUAGUGGGGGAUAACGUUCGGAAACGGACGCUAAUACCGCAUACGUCCUACGGGAGAAAGCAGGGGACCUUCGGGCCUUGCGCUAUCAGAUGAGCCUAGGUCGGAUUAGCUAGUUGGUGAGGUAAUGGCUCACCAAGGCGACGAUCCGUAACUGGUCUGAGAGGAUGAUCAGUCACACUGGAACUGAGACACGGUCCAGACUCCUACGGGAGGCAGCAGUGGGGAAUAUUGGACAAUGGGCGAAAGCCUGAUCCAGCCAUGCCGCGUGUGUGAAGAAGGUCUUCGGAUUGUAAAGCACUUUAAGUUGGGAGGAAGGGCAGUUACCUAAUACGUGAUUGUUUUGACGUACCGACAG
rnacentral:rRNA from 2 species